AAUAAGUGCAGUUUUGCACUAUUCACGUUCAACGUUUGACCGUCCGUCUUAUUUGAAAAAUUUAUAAAAAAUUAAAAACAUUUAGUCACACAUAAAGUACUAUUCAUGUUUUAUCAUCUAAUAGCAAUAAAAAUACUAAUCAUAAAAAAUUUUCAAAUAAGACGGACGGUCAAACGUUGAACGUGAAUAGUGCAAAACUGCACUUAUU
rnacentral:pre_miRNA from 1 species